AUUUCCUUUUAAAACCCAACCAAAAAACUAGCCCAGACCCGCAUGACCCGACUCGACCCAUUUUACCCCUCUCACACCUAAAACCCUAAUCCCCUUCCCCAUUUAAUGGGGACAAAAUGGGAUCCUAGACUAGAAGAGAACAAGGUGCUGCGCAGCUUUUACAAGAGACCUCUCUCACGUCCUCUUCUUCAUCAGCCGCUACAGUGCAAAACCGACCCCAACCCGUCGACCAGACCUAGAUCAAUUUCAUCUUCUACACGAGGGCUUGAGCUGAACGACACACACAGAUAAAUAUAAGCCAUCUUCUCCAUGCCUCAUCUCCGUCUAUCGACCACCCCUAUACCGUCAACGUAGCUUCACCAGUAACCCACAGCUACGACCAACGAACAGAACCAAUUGCAGAAACCAAACGACCCUUUUGUUCGAGUUUCAUUCACACACACACACACAGCGUUCCUGAUUUCAAUUUUGGGGUGCGAUUGCUACGUAAUCGAAGUUUCUAUUCGAUGUGUAGUUUGUUGUUCCGAUCUGAGAUUCUGGUUCGAUUUUGCCCAUUCAUUUGAAGUUGUGUUGAUUUCUGGUUGUAACUGUGACCCCGUUUCAGUCUAUGUAAUUGCCACGAUUUAAUUAAUCAGAAAUCGUUGCUCUGUUUGUUUGGGGUUCAUCUUCAACGUCAACACCUUUAUUUGGGUUCUAUUCUGUUAUUGUUCUUCUCGUAGCCAGUUAUUGUUACUGCGAAACACCGCUGCUGUUUUUAAGCAUCUUAGAAAGCUCACUUUGAAAAAUAGUAGUUAAUUCGCGAUGCAUUGCAUCUACCCAAUAAUUCAAUGAUCAUCAAGAUGAUUCAAUUUGAGUCAGAAAAUUAAAGGUUUCGUUCCAGGUUCUGUCCGUCGUUCUCUGUUCGUUUUCAGAUCUGUUCGGAGCCAACUUGUUGUAAGUCAUUCGGAUAAUGGUUACAUCUCCUUUCAUUAUUCUCUGUGACACUUUAGACCUUACAUCGGGUGUAUGAUAAUACAAUGACUGUUUAUGUUGUCUUUUCUGCUGAAAUGAGAUUCAUGGCCACUACAAUGACUGUUUAUGUCGUCUAUUCUAUUGAAAAUGAGAGUCAUAGCUGUUUGUUGCAUUUUGAAAUUGCAAAGUAUGACCUUUCCUUCAAAAUAUGUAUUUGAACUCUCUGAAAGGAUAAGUCUUAAUAAUGAAGACUUACUACUUAACUCAAAGAAACUGUCAUCCGUUUUUUAGAAGAAACUUUUCUUAUACCAAUAAUUAGGCGAAUUUGGUGUUAUAGUUGGAUAUUCAAGGUUUGAAGCUAGUGCGUUUUGGAGUGUCAUUGAUUAAUAAUGUGAUAUGAUCCGUUGUUUGUGUAGUUACUUUCAUAGUUUUGAAUUUGCUCAUUUAGUUAUCUAUUCAUAUGCUUGCUCGAAUUGGUUAUAGCUGAACAUGAUUUUGUUAUGGUAUAGAAAUUGGGUUGCUAUUAAUCAACUGAGCUAUGUAAUUAGAUUAAAGGAACCGGGGGUGCACUUUAUGUGACGUGGCUUAUGAUAUGUUUUAAAUAACCUUGAAUUUUUCUUAAAUAAAAAAACACUUUGAAAGUUUACGAUCCUCCAAAUGUAGUUCUCUUUUAAAUUAUAAUUAGGGCGCGCAUGCCAAACAGAAAUUAAUAUUGCAUGGCCCUUGUUUUAAUUAAGCUUGAUUUAAUACUUAGAACUUGGGACGAGCCAUUUAUCGAACUUUUCCGGCCUCCCGCAAAGUUAAUAACAUAUUAGUCGCUUUAGGAUUGUUCAUAAAUAAUCUUACCUUCUUAAAUUCAGGUGCGCAUUUAUGUGACCCAAAUCCAAAUCUCAACGAUAUUAAAAUAUGUCAAAAAUCACUUGAGGAUUUAUAUGACGUGGUCCGCGACGUAUUUUGAUAGCGUUGCAAUUCUCUUCCUAAUAACCAUAAUAAAAGCGGCUAAAAGUUAAAAUUUGCACAUAGGUUCAUAAUUAUUUAAAAUCAGAUAAUUUAAGCCCAACAUGACAAUUGAGUGACCGUGCUAGAACAACGGAACCAGGGAAGGCCUAAUACCUUCUCCCAGGCUAACAGAAUUCCUUACUCGAAUUUCUGGUUCGCGGACUGUUAAAUAAAGUCAUUCUUUUCCUUGAUUCGGGAUUCUAAACCGGUGACUUGGGACACCAUAAAUCUCCCUUGUGGCGACUCUGAAUCUCUUAAAUAAAUAAAUCUCAUUUCGAUUGUCCUUAAUUUUGAAGAACUCCCUAUCUGUGCCCUUCGCCAGGCGUAGUUGUUAAAAAAGGAGGUGUGACAGCUCUGGCGACUCUGCUGGGGAUCGAACCCAGAAUCUCCGGUUUCGCAGGGUUCAAGAAUUCAAUCUUAGAAUAAUUGUUGUAUUUGGCUUUGUUUAUUAUCUGAUUUAAUUUUAUUUUUACAUGUUGACUUAAUGUGCAAAAUGAUGCUUUUACCGCUUUGAUAUUAUUUGAACUGUGCAUAUAAACUGUUACGAAACCCUUCUCUUCUUAUCUUCGGGGAUUUGCUCGCUAGUCAAGAAUCCAUAUUCUGUUAGUGUCAUACCUUGAAAUAAGAAAGAGGCUCGAACAAGUCACUAAGCAGGAUGAUCUUUCGGGUCCCCGGUAUGUAGCUCCCUCCUCAACUCGAGUUGCCCGCUCGGGUAAACAAGUGUAGAACAAAUAUCCCAAUUUUUGAACCUAGAAUAACUCAGUCUCAUGCCGGAUCCCUAGUAAGAACGCUUAUUUGCAUCAUGCAUUUGACUUAAAGGACUCAACACAGGGGUUGAAUUCAUCUAGAAUAGGUAUACCCAAAAUAACAUAUGCAUCAUAUGUGCUCCAUAUUGCAUUUAUUCGGUAAAAGUGUAGUCAUUUGGCUGGGUCAAUUAGUGUCCCACAAGCGUGGGGUUGUCUUGUCUUGUCUUUGUCAUGUCGAAAACUUCAACUACUAAUGUUCUUUUCUCUUGUUUACAUCUUGUCCUCAUGCUACUAUUGAUACUACUUUGUUUUUACAGAGGUUAAAAUAUUUUACUUUCUUGUUGCUUCCUUCGUCGAUGCUAUGGC
rnacentral:lncRNA from 1 species